AUCACCUGGUUCUAUAACCAGUGUUUGGAGUGUAGUGCAGAUUAGUAUGGCAUUAAUGUAGCGAAUGGGGCAAUUUAUUUUUGUCCCACUAGGUUUAAGGUAUGGGUUAAGGUAUUACAGGCCAAUGCUUUUUAUUGUGGCAAAGUGCUUUAGUGAAUUUAAAAAAAACUAAACUAAAAAAAAAACUCCCAGUGACAUGUAUUAGAUUUUCC